CAAACGGAGGGGCUGAAUCGAUCUUUAAUCGAGCUGUCACAACCGGGAGAAAGGUUUAUCCGAAUCUUGGGAGAUCAGCAGGUAAAAUAAGAAGUCAAAGCUUACAGGGAGCUUUAUUAUGGCUGGAUGGUACAUGUUACAUAAAAAUUCUAUUUUUCCCCAUCUAAUUCAUGAAAUGGCAUCCAUCCUAUUGUCAGUGCUGUCAGGGAAAAAGAUGAACUGGUGUAUUACAACCUAAGACAAAGUGUUGAGAUGUUUGGCAGUCCUAUACAUUCACAGAGAAAAUGUUCUGCUGGAAAUAUGGGGCAACAUUCAGCCUGUACAC